rnacentral:rRNA from 1 species
GAUGAACGCUGGCGGCGUGCCUAAUACAUGCAAGUCGAGCGAACGGACGAGAAGCUUGCUUCUCUGAUGUUAGCGGCGGACGGGUGAGUAACACGUGGAUAACCUACCUAUAAGACUGGGAUAACUUCGGGAAACCGGAGCUAAUACCGGAUGAUAUUUUGAACCGCAUGGUUCAAAAGUGAAAGACGGUUUUCCUGUCACUAAUAGAUGGAUCCGCGCUGCAUUAGCUAGUUGGUAAGGUAACGGCUUACCAAGGCAACGAUGCAUAGCAGACCUGAGAGGGUGAUCGGCCACACUGGAACUGAGACACGGUCCAGACUCCUACGGGAGGCAGCAGUAGGGAAUCUUCCGCAAUGGGCGAAAGCCUGACGGAGCAACGCCGCGUGAGUGAUGAAGGUCUUCGGAUCGUAAAACUCUGUUAUUAGGGAAGAACAUAUGUGUAAGUAACUGUGCACAUCUUGACGGUACCUAAUCAGAAAGCCACGGCUGACUACGUG